AUUGAACGCUGGCGGCAGGCCUAACACAUGCAAGUCGAACGGUAACAGGAUGUGCUUGCACAUCGCUGACGAGUGGCGGACGGGUGAGUAAUGCUUGGGAAUUUGCCUUUGCGAGGGGAUAACAGUUGGAAACGACUGCUAAUACCGCAUAACGUCUACGGACCAAAGGGGGCUUCGGCUCUCGCGUGAAGAGAAGCCCAAGUGAGAUUAGCUAGUUGGUGAGGUAAGGGCUCACCAAGGCGACGAUCUCUAGCUGUUCUGAGAGGAAGAUCAGCCACACUGGGACUGAGACACGGCCCAGACUCCUACGGGAGGCAGCAGUGGGGAAUAUUGCACAAUGGGGGAAACCCUGAUGCAGCCAUGCCGCGUGUGUGAAGAAGGCCUUCGGGUUGUAAAAGCACUUUCAGUUGUGAGGAAAGGUUAGUAGUUAAUACCUGCUAGCUGUGACGUUACAACAGAAGAAGCACCGGCUAACUCCGU
rnacentral:rRNA from 1 species